rnacentral:rRNA from 1 species
AAUAGAUACCCCGGUAGUCCACGCUGUAAACGAUGAUUACUGGUUGUUAGCGAUAUAUGGCUAGUGACUGAGCGAAAGCAUUAAGUAAUCCACCUGGGGAGUACGUCGGCAACGAUGAAACUCAAAGGAAUUGACGGGGGCCCGCACAAGCGGAGGAACAUGUGGUUUAAUUCGAUGAUACGCGAGGAACCUUACCUGGGUUUAAAUGGGGAGUGACAGGUGUCGAAAGAUGCUUUUCCUUCGGGACACUCUUCAAGGUGCUGCAUGGUUGUCGUCAGCUCGUGCCGUGAGGUGUCGGGUUAAGUCCCAUAACGAGCGCAACCCUUGCCGAUAGUUGCCAUCACGUAAAGGUGGGCACUCUAUCGGGACUGCCGGUGUAAACCGUGAGGAAGGUGGGGAUGGCGUCAAAUCAGCACGGCCCUUACAUCCAGGGCUACACACGUGUUACAAUGGCCAGUACAGAGGGCCGCUACCCCGCGAGGGGAUGCCAAUCUCGAAAGCUGGUCUCAGUUCGGAUUGAAGUCUGGAACCCGACUUC